GCCUGGUUAGCUUAGUUGGUAGUGCGUCUGCCUUGUAAGCGCUAGGCCGUGGGUUCGAUUCCCGCCCGGCG
rnacentral:tRNA from 1 species